rnacentral:rRNA from 1 species
ACGUAGGGCGCAAGCGUUAAUCGGAAUUACUGGGCGUAAAGCGAGCGCAGGCGGUUAUGUAAGACAGAUGUGAAAUCCCCGGGCCUAACCUGGGAACUGCAUUUGUGACUGCAUCGCUAGAGUCUGUCAGAGGGGGGUGGAAUUCCACGUGUAGCAGUGAAAUGCGUAGAGAUGUGGAAGAACACCGAUGGCGAAGGCAGCCCCCUGGGAUGAGACUGACGCUCAUGUACGAAAGCGUGGGGAGCAAACAGGAUUAGAUACCCUGGUAGUCCACGCCCUAAACGAUGUCAACUGGUUGUUGGGUCUUCACUGACUCAGUAACGAAGCUAACGCGUGAAGUUGACCGCCUGGGGAGUACGGCCGCAAGGUUG